rnacentral:rRNA from 1 species
AGGGCGCACGGUGGAUGCCUUGGCACCAGGAACCGAUGAAGGACGUGGGAGGCCACGAUAGUCCCCGGGGAGUCGUCAACCAGGCUUUGAUCCGGGGGUUUCCGAAUGGGGAAACCCGGCAGUCGUCAUGGGCUGUCACCCGCUGCUGAACACAUAGGCAGUGUGGAGGGAACGCGGGGAAGUGAAACAUCUCAGUACCCGCAGGAAGAGAAAACAAUAGUGAUUCCGUGAGUAGUGGCGAGCGAAAGCGGAUGGGGCUAAACCGUAUGUGUGUGAUACCCGGCAGGGGUUGCAUGUACGGGGUUGUGGGCCUUUGCGUGAUGGUUCUGCCGGACCGUCGAAGUGAGGUGCGGGCGUAUAGACGAACAGGUUUGGAUGCCUGACCGUAGAGGGUGAGAGUCCCGUAGUCGAAAUGUGUUCCGCCGCUGUUGGAGGGUCGCCCGAGUAGCACGGGGCCCGAGGAAUCCCGUGUGAAUCUGCCAGGACCACCUGGUAAGCCUGAAUACUACCUGUUGACCGAUAGCGGAUCAGUACCGUGAGGGAAUGGUGAAAAGUACCCCGGGAGGGGAGUGAAAUAGUACCUGAAACCAUGUGCCUACAAACCGUCGGAGCCUCCUUGUUGGGGUGACGGCGUGCCUUUUGAAGAAUGAGCCUGCGAGUUAGUGAUACGUGGCGAGGUUAACCCGUGUGGGGAAGCCGUAGCGAAAGCGAGUCUGAAUAGGGCGAUUCAGUCGCGUGUCCUAGACCCGAAGCGGAGUGAUCUACCCAUGGCCAGGUUGAAGCGCGUGUAAGAGCGCGUGGAGGACCGAACCCACUUCAGUUGAAAAUGGAGGGGAUGAGCUGUGGGUAGGGGUGAAAGGCCAAUCAAACUCGGAAAUAGCUGGUUCUCCGCGAAAUCUAUUUAGGUAGAGCCUCGAGUGAAUACCCCAGGGGGUAGAGCACUGGAUGGGCUAUGGGGACUCACCGUCUUACUGAUCCUAACCAAACUCCGAAUACCUGGAUGUCUUAUCCGGCAGACACACUGUGGGUGCUAACGUUCAUAGUGGAAAGGGAAACAACCCUGACCGCCAGCUAAGGUCCCCAAGUCAUGGCUAAGUGGGAAAGGAUGUGAGGAUCCCAAAACAACCAGGAUGUUGGCUUAGAAGCAGCCACCAUUUAAAAAGUGCGUAAUAGCUUACUGGUCGAGGAGUCCUGCGCCGAUAAUGAACGGGACUAAGCCGGAUACCGAAGCAGCGGACUCGAGCAAUCGAGUGGUAGGAGAGCGUUGCACCGACCGUCGAAGGGGUACAGACAAUGAGCCCUGGAGGAAGUGCAAGUGAUCAUGCCGGAACGAGUAACGAUAAAACGGGUGAGAAUCCCGUUCGCCGAAAGCCUAAGGUUUCCUGGGGAAGGUAAAUCCGCCCAGGGUUAGCCGGUACCUUAGUCGAGGCCGAAAGGCGUAGACGAUGGAUAGCAGGUCAACAUUCCUGCGCCGGUGGUGUGUACUGAUGGAGGGACAACGUCCGGAGGGUGAGCGGUACGACUAGAAAUGUCCGUGGACUGUCGCAAGGUGGGGGAUAGGUAAAUCCGCCCCCAUAAGCCAAGCGGCGGGACCGACCGCAUUUACGUUCGGGAAGUCAUCCGAAGGACGUCCAAGAAAAGCCUCUAAGGGUUAAAAUCCAAGUGACCGUACUAAAACUGACACAGGUAGGCGAGACGAGAAGUCUAAGGCGCUCGGGAGAACGCUGGUUAAGGAACUCUGCAAAAUGACCCCGUAAGUUCGCGAUAAGGGGUGCCAGGGGUGGUUCACGCUGCCCUUGGCCACAGUAAAUCGGCUUCUGCGACUGUUUAUCAAAAACACAGGACUCUGCUAACACGCAAGUGGAUGUAUAGAGUCUGACGCCUGCCCGGUGUCGGUAGGUUAAGGGAGAGGGUUAGCCGCAAGGCGAAGCUCGCAACCGAAGCUCCAGUAAACGGCGGCCGUAACUAUAACGGUCCUAAGGUAGCGAAAUUCCUUGUCGGGUAAGUUCCGACCUGCACGAAUGGAGUAACGACUUCCCCGCUGUCUCAACCAUAGACCCGGCGAAAUUGAAGUACGAGUAAAGAUGCUCGUUAGCUGCAGAAGGACGGAAAGACCCCGUGGACCUUUACUACAACUUGAUGUUGGGUUUUGGUAUGCGUUGUGUAGGAUAGGUGGGAGACUUGGAAGCAUUGGCGCCAGCCAGUGUGGAGUCAUCGUUGAAAUACCACUCUGGUCACUCUGGACAUCUAACUUCGGCCCGUGAUCCGGGUCAGGGACAGUGCCUGAUGGGUAGUUUAACUGGGGCGGUUGCCUCCCAAAAUGUAACGGAGGCGCCCAAAGGUCCCCUCAGCCUGGUUGGCAAUCAGGUGUCGAGUGCAAGUGCACAAGGGGGCUUGACUGUGAGAGAGACAUCUCGAGCAGGGACGAAAGUCGGGACUAGUGAUCCGGCACUGGCUUGUGGAAGCGGUGUCGCUCAACGGAUAAAAGGUACCUCGGGGAUAACAGGCUGAUCUUGCCCAAGAGUCCAUAUCGACGGCAUGGUUUGGCACCUCGAUGUCGGCUCGUCGCAUCCUGGGGCUGGAGUAGGUCCCAAGGGUUGGGCUGUUCGCCCAUUAAAGCGGUACGCGAGCUGGGUUCAGAACGUCGUGAGACAGUUCGGUCCCUAUCCGCUGCGCGCGUUGGAAAUUUGAGAAGGUCUGUCCUUAGUACGAGAGGACCGGGACGGACGAACCUCUGGUAUGUCAGUUGUACCGCCAGGUGCAUGGCUGAUUAGCUACGUUCGGGAUGGAUAACCGCUGAAAGCAUCUAAGCGGGAAGCCCACCUUAAGAUUAGAUUUCCCUAAAGAGCCGUUGU